UACGUAGGGGGCAAGCGUUGUCCGGAAUCAUUGGGCGUAAAGAGCGUGUAGGCGGCUCGGUAAGUCCGCUGUGAAAGUCCAGGGCUCAACCCUGGAAUGCCGGUGGAAACUGUCGAGCUAGAGUCCGGAAGAGGCGAGUGGAAUUCCUGGUGUAGCGGUGAAAUGCGCAGAUAUCGGAAAGAACACCAACGGCGAAAGCACUCUGCUGGGCCGACACUGACACUGAGAGACGAAAGCUAGGGGAGCGAAUGGG
rnacentral:rRNA from 1 species